rnacentral:rRNA from 1 species
CCAAAGCUCCGAUUUUUUGACGAGCGCAUCUAUUAGAUUAAAACCAAUCGGGUUUCGGCCCGUCAAUUGGUGACUCUGAAUAACUAUGGCUGAUCGCAUGGUCUUGAACCGGCGACGUGUCUAUCAAGUGUCUGCCUUAUCAACUGUCGAUGGUAGUUUAUGUGCCUACCAUGGUUGUAACGGGUAACGGAGAAUAAGGGUUCGACUCCGGAGAGGGAGCCUGAGAAACGGCUACCACAUCCAAGGAAGGCAGCAGGCGCGCAAAUUACCCACUCUCGGCAUGAGGAGGUAGUGACGAAAAAUAACGAGACCGUUCUCUCUGAGGCCGGUUAUCGGAAUGGGUACAAUUUAAACCCGUUAACGAGGAUCUAUGAGAGGGCAAGUCUGGUGCCAGCAGCCGCGGUAAUUCCAGCUCUCAAAGUGUAUAUCGUCAUUGCUGCGGUUAAAAAGCUCGUAGUUGGAUCUGCGCCUCAGGACUUGGUCCGCCCACUGGGCGAGAACUGGGCUCCUGGGCUAGUACUGCUGGUUUUCCCUACGUUGCCUUCAUCGGUCGCGUAGGGUGGCUAGCGAGUUUACUUUGAAAAAAUUAGAGUGCUUCACGCGGGCUUAUGUCUGAAUACUCGUGCAUGGAAUAAUAGAAUAGGAUCUCGGUUCUAUUUUGUUGGUUUUCUGAUCUGAGAUAAUGGUUAAGAGGGACGGACGGGGGCAUUCGUAUCGCUGCGUGAGAGGUGAAAUUCUUGGACCGUAGCGAGACGUCCGACUGCGAAAGCAUUUGCCAAGAAUGUCUUCAUUAAUCAAGAACGAAAGUCAGAGGUUCGAA